CCUACGGGGCGCAGCAGUGAGGAAUAUUGGUCAAUGGUCGGGAGACUGAACCAGCCAAGCCGCGUGAGGGAUGAAGGUACAGAGUAUCGUAAACCUCUUUUGUCAGGGAACAAAGGCGGGGACGCGUCCCCGGAUGAGUGUACCUGAAGAAAAAGCAUCGGCUAACUCCGUGCCAGCAACCGCGGUAAUACGGGGGAUGCGAGCGUUCUCGGGAUUUACCGGGUUGAAAGGGUGCGCAGGCGGUCUGUUAAGUCAGCGGUCAAAGCACGGGGAUCAACCCCGGCCCGCCGUUGAACCUGGCAGUCUCGAGUUGGAGAGAAGUAUGCGGAAUGCGCGGUGUAGCGGUGAAAUGCAUAGAGAUCGCGCAGAACUCCGAUUGCGAAGGCAGCAUGCCGGCUCCACACUGACGCUGAGGCACGAAAGCGUGGGUAUCGAACAGGAUUAGAUACCCUGGUAGUC
rnacentral:rRNA from 1 species